rnacentral:rRNA from 1 species
UACGGAGGGAGCUAGCGUUGUUCGGAUAUACUGGGCGUAAAGCGCACGUAGCGGCGCCGUAAGUCAGGGGUGAAAGUCCCGGAGCUCAACUCCGGAACUGCCCUUCGAUACUGGGAGUCUCGAGUUCGGGAGAGGUGAGUGGAACUGCGAGUGUAGAGGUGAAAUUCGUAGAUAUUCGCAAGAACACCAGUGGCGAAGGCGGCUGCACUGGCCCGGUACUGACGCUGAGGUGCGAAGCGUGGGGAGCAAACAGG